AAGGUAGAUCAUUGGCCUUGGGGGCUGCCCAGCCAACUGCCACUCGUGCUCUACAAGAUCAUUCCGGAGCUGACUAUGAGUGUGUGCAUCCUGAGUCUAACGAUGUGCUUGAAGAAAAGCUUGUAGGCGAGAAGGGGUUUCUUUCCGGUUGCACACGGGUACCAACAUUGUCGUAGAAACAAGGCAGUUUUAACCUUCUCUCAUCCUCGAGGAUCAGGUUGUGUAGAAUCACACAACAUUUCAUGAUGUUCUUCAAGAUUUUUUUGUCCCCAAAACGAGCUCGACCCCGAACUAUGGCAAACCUUGC
rnacentral:lncRNA from 1 species